rnacentral:rRNA from 1 species
ACGCGCAUGAACUUAAGCAUAUCACUAAGCGCAGGUAAAAGAAAAAAUAACUAUGAUUGCCUCAGUAACGGCGAGUGAACCGGCAAUAGCCCAAGAUGAGAACCGCAGCCCUUCGGGCUCGCGGGUUGUAAUCUAAAGAGCAGUCACUGACUGGCUUUGCUGACGCCCAAGUGUCUUGGAAUAGACCGCCAGGGAGGGUGAAAGCCCCGUACGGUGUCGGGAGAGCGCUAGGUGGCCGCUUGAAGAGUCGAGUUGUUCGGGACUGCAGCUCUAAGUGGGAGGUAGACUUCUCCUAAGGCUCAAUAACUAUGAGAGACCGAUAGCGAACAAGUAAUGUGAAUGAAAGAUGAAAAAUAUAUUUUUCCUUCCGUAAGAACUUUGAAUGAACAAAAACAGAAUUAAACAGACCUGAAACCGUUGAGGUGGAAGCGAUAGGAAGUUUACAUUUGGCCCGGAGCUAGCAAAGCGGGUUCGCCUGCGAGUUUGCUCCUGGUCGAAACGGUCGUUCGGCUUUGCGCGCCUCAUAAACCCCCCCGGGCAAGGGCUUCGGCACCACUCUGGGGGAGCCUGUUGCGUGCGAGGUCGAGGGACUUUUGAUGUUUAUCCUACCGACCCGUCUUGAAACACGGACCAAGGAGUCUAACAUAUAUGCGAUUAUGUUGGUGUUGUUAAAACCAUACAUGAGCAAUGAAAGUAAGCGGUGCCAACCGUAAGGUGCAGCAUCGGCCAGUUGUGAUCCUCUGGAGAAGCGUACUGGCUGUGAGCAUAUCUGUUAGGACCCGAAAGAUGGUGAACUACGCUUGGGUAGGGUGAAGCCAGGGGAAACUCUUGUGGAAGCCCGAAGCGGUACUGACGUGCAAAUCGUUCGUCAAACUUGAGUGUAGGGGCGAAAGACUAAUCGAACCAUCUAGUAGCUGGUUCCCUCCGAAGUUUCUCUCAGGAUAGCAAGCACAGUUAAAGCAGUUUUUUGUAUUUUUCUCAAUUAGGUAAAGAAUCAAUGAUUAGAAGCAUCUGGGGGCUUUAUUAGUGUUCUCGACUUAGUUCUCAAACUCUAAAUAUUUGUAAUAACUCGGUAUUCCUUAACUGAAGAUCGAGGCAGAAUGCUUGUGCUUAGUGGGCCAUUUUUGGUAAGCAGAACUGGCGAUGAGGGAUGAACCUAACUCUGAGUUAAGGUGCCCAACUGCACGCGCAUCAGAUACCUUAAAGGGUGUGUUGAUUCAUUUAGACAGCAGGACGGUGGCCAUGUGGAAGUCGGAAUCCGCUAAGGAGUGUGUAACAACUCACCUGCCGAAUGAAUUAGCCCCGAAAAUUUUGAUGGCUCUCCAGCGUGCGACCGAUACUCAGACAUUGUAGCGAAAGUUUGACUGCAAUGAGUAGGAGAGGGCGUAGGCGUCUUGUUGAAGCUUUGAGCGUGAGCCUGAGUCGAAAGGCGUCUAGUGCAGAUCUUGGUGGUAGUAGCAAUUAUUCAAAUGAGAACUUUGAAGGCCGAAGUGGAGAAGGUUUCCAUGAGAACAGCAAUUGGUCAUGGGUGACUCGGUCCUAAGAUAUUGGUAAACGACCUUGCAAAUGGGCUUCGGCCCGCGAUCGAAGAAGGGAAAAUGAGGUUAAUAUUCAUCAAGCUGGCUAUGGAUGUCACGGCAACGUUUGUGAGCUCGGUGACACCGGCGCGUGCCUCUGGAAGAGUUAUCUUUUGUUUGUUAACAGCUAAGCGACCCUGAAAUCGGAUUACCCGGAGAUGAGGGUUGCAAAGCUGGAAUAGUGUAUGUUUUAUUUUAGAUACAAAUAGAAGCGCUCGCGACGGUCCUUGAAAAUCCGAGUGAGGUAAUUUAUUCCAUACCAGGCCGUACCAAUAACCGCAUCAGGUCUCCAAGGUU